rnacentral:rRNA from 1 species
UGCUUCUCUGAUGUUAGCGGCGGACGGGUGAGUAACACGUGGAUAACCUACCUAUAAGACUGGGAUAACUUCGGGAAACCGGAGCUAAUACCGGAUAAUAUUUUAACCGCAUGGUUCAAAAGUGAAAGACGGUCUUGCUGCCUUUAAUGAUCGCGCUGCAUUAGCUAGUUGGUAAGGUAACGGCUUACCAAGGCAACGAUGCAUAGCCGACCUGAGAGGGUGAUCGGCCACACUGGAACUGAGACACGGUCCAGACUCCUACGGGAGGCAGCAGUAGGGAAUCUUCCGCAAUGGGCGAAAGCCUGACGGAGCAACGCCGCGUGAGUGAUGAAGGUCUUCGGAUCGUAAAACUCUGUUAUUAGGGAAGAACAUAUGUGUAAGUAACUGUGCACAUCUUGACGGUACCUAAUCAGAAAGCCACGGCUAACUACGUGCCAGCAGCCGCGGUAAUACGUAGGUGGCAAGCGUUAUCCGGAAUUAUUGGGCGUAAAGCGCGCGUAGGCGGUUUUUUAAGUCUGAUGUGAAAGCCCACGGCUCAACCGUGGAGGGUCAUUGGAAACUGGAAAACUUGAGUGCAGAAGAGGAAAGUGGAAUUCCAUGUGUAGCGGUGAAAUGCGCAGAGAUAUGGAGGAACACCAGUGGCGAAGGCGACUUUCUGGUCUGUAACUGACGCUGAUGUGCGAAAGCGUGGGGAUCAAACAGGAUUAG